GUAAAGAGCAUGUAGGCGGCUUAAUAAGUCGAGCGUGAAAAUGCGGGGCUCAACCCCGUAUGGCGCUGGAAACUGUUAGGCUUGAGUGCAGGAGAGGAAGGGGGAAUUCCCAGUGUAGCGGUGAAAUGCGUAGAUAUUGGGAGGAACACCAGUGGCGAAGGCGCCUUUCUGGACUGUGUCUGACGCUGAGAUGCGAAAGCCAGGGUAGCGAACGGGAUUAGAUACCCCGGUAGUCCUGGCCGUAAACGAUGGGUACUAGGUGUAGGAGGUAUCGACCCCUUC
rnacentral:rRNA from 1 species